UACAGAGGUGGCAAGCGUUGUUCGGAAUUACUGGGCGUAAAGCGCACGUAGGCGGCUUGGUAUGUCGGGUGUGAAAUCCCCGGGCUCAACCUGGGAACUGCAUCCGAAACUGCCUUGCUCGAGUAUGGGAGAGGAGCGCGGAAUUCCCGGUGUAGCGGUGAAAUGCGUAGAGAUCGGGAGGAAGGCCGGUGGCGAAGGCGGCGCUCUGGAACAUUUCUGACGCUGAGGCUCGAAAGCGUGGGGAGCAAACAGG
rnacentral:rRNA from 1 species